UACGUAGGCAGCAAGCGUUGUUCGGAGUUACUGGGCGUAAAGGGUGUGUAGGCGGUUCUUUUAAGUUUGGUGUGAAAUCUCCCGGCUUAACCGGGAGGGUGCGCCGAAUACUGAGGGACUAGAGUACGGGAGAGGAAAGUGGAAUUCCUGGUGUAGCGGUGAAAUGCGUAGAUAUCAGGAAGAACACCUAUGGCGAAGGCAGCUCUCUGGGACGGUACUGACGCUGAGACGCGAAAGCGUGGGGAGCGAACAGG
rnacentral:rRNA from 1 species